rnacentral:rRNA from 1 species
AUAGAGAAUAGUUAGUGGCAGACGGGUGAGUAAUGCAUAGGAAUCUACCUAGUAGUAUGGGAUAGCCACUAGAAAUGGUGGGUAAUACUGUAUAAUCCCUGCGGGGGAAAGAUUUAUCGCUAUUAGAUGAGCCUAUGUUAGAUUAGCUAGUUGGUGGGGUAAAGGCCUACCAAGGCGAUGAUCUAUAGCUGGUCUGAGAGGAUGAUCAGCCACACUGGAACUGAGAUACGGUCCAGACUCCUACGGGAGGCAGCAGUGGGGAAUAUUGGACAAUGGGCGCAAGCCUGAUCCAGCUAUGCCGCGUGAGUGAGGAAGGCCUUAGGGUUGUAAAACUCUUUCAGUAGGGAAGAUAAUGACGGUACCUACAGAAGAAGUCCCGGCAAACUCCGUGCCAGCAGCCGCGGUAAUACGGAGGGGGCAAGCGUUGUUCGGAAUUAUUGGGCGUAAAGGGCAUGUAGGCGGUUCGGUAAGUUAAAGGUGAAAUGCCAGGGCUUAAC